rnacentral:lncRNA from 1 species
CACCCCCAUUGCCUCGCCGCCCUGGCCAAGCUCCGCCCCCUGGAGGGCGGGGCCAGCGCCGAGGGGGCGGAGCUUCAGCCGUCCCCCGCCGGUUCCCGCGCCCUGCAGCUGCUGCUGCGGUUCCGCUGCACAGGCCCCGCCCCCAUGGAGACAGGCCCCGCCCACAUCGACACAGGCCACGCCCCCAUCGACACAGGCCACGCCCCCAAUGGGACAGACCACGCCCCCCGCAAAAGGCACAAAUCGCCAGGCCACGCCCCCA